UCCUUUUUAGCCGAUUUGGCUUUUAAUUUCUGGGCUGUUGGUUCAUUUCAUUUCUGCUUAUGAAUUUGUGAUUGAUAUCAAUUCCAAUCAGAGAAAUAACUAAGGAUUCUACGUUCCUACCAGCGUCGAUUUAUGAUAUCACAUCAUCCCAGCACUCAGUGCCCAUCUUUUCUUUUGCUAUUCCAAUCAAAACCCGUUUCUAAUUGAUUGUUGGGUUCUUCAAAAUCGGCUCUUUAAUUUGCCAAUUGGCCUGUAAAAAUUUGAUGGUUUGUGAAAUUCAAUGUUGAAUUGAUGUGUGUUUGUUCCAUUAGCUUUCAAUUCCGAUAGAUUUCUUCUGCAACAUAUCUUUAAUUUGUGUAAUGGUGUGGUAUGUAAGUUGCCUUUUUGUUUGUUUUUAUAGUUUCGAUGGAUGACAGUGGUAAUGGAUAGAUUAUUUGGUUGGUUAAUCAAUUGAAGAAUUGAUGGCGUUGUCUCAUAGUUUGUAUAUCUGGGCAACUAGGUGCUCAGUAAACCUUUAGUAAAACUUCUAAUCUCUAAACCUGAGACUGUAAACUGUUUUCCUUGAAUUAGUUGUGUGGUUUUAAAUGUUUAGCUAUCCUUUGAUUUUGAUCAAUUUAUUUGACACAGGCUAAAAUUCUACACUACAUUGUUGUCUAAAGGUGUAGUAUUGUAUCACAAGUCUGUUUUUUAAUUAAAAUUAUGCAUUAAGUUUCUUCUUUAUGACAUUUGGAUCAAUCAAGUGACACAAAAUUUAAAUUCCCCGUUAUCAGAUUUUAUCAAUUCAAUAAUGUUUAUCACAAGUCUGUUUUUACUGUUUCUUCUUCCUUUAUUUGUUUUUCGGCAUUAAAAAUCUAAUUUGUUGUUUUUAUGUAGUUCAGACUGAAAAGUUGCAUAUAGUCAAGAACUUGCAAGACCAGUUUUUUAAACUUCUAAACACAGAAUUUUCAGACUUAAAGCACUUUGCUCCAAGUUCUGUAGCCUUGCCUUUCUAUCAUAAGCUGAAAUCAAUUUGGAAGCACAGACAGAAGUGGUGACUUUGUAUCCUCUAGAUCAAAAAUUCUAUGCAAAAAGGUGUGCAUAUUGUUAAACUGUUGCUGUUCCUCUGUGCAUCGUUUACCGUUAUUCCAGUCUCCUGCUCUUAUUCAGGUCCAACUAAAUAAGUUGGGAGAUCAGCUUGGUUUAGAUACGUAUGGAAUUGAUGUCAAUGAAGAGGAUUCAAGCAUUAAUAUUGUCAGCAAUGGGGAAACUCAUUUUCCAGUCCCCUUAAAUAAGGAGCAGCUGAAUGAUGUUUCUCCAAGCAAGAAAAGGCUUGAUGUAAAUAGGGAUUCUGCCAAGGAACCAAAACAAGGUGACUGGAGCAGUGGAAGGCGAUACUGUUGGAAUCGAGAGAGCGGGAGAAGAAGUCAGUCCGCAUUUCGUUUGGAUCAAUCUUGAAAGCUUGGCUAUCGAAGUGUGCUUCGGUUUUGAAGAUAAUCAUGCUAGAUCAACCAGGUCAGGCGUUUUGUUGUGCUGGGUUUUGAAGAUAAUCGUGCUAGAUCAACCAGGAUAAUUGUGUUUGGGUAGGUGAUCUGCUGCAACUGGACCUAUAGUGCUUGGGUUUUGAAGAUAAUCGUGCUAGAUCAACCAGAUUAAGUAGCAUUUGAGGUGUUGUCAAUUGUGAAGCUGCUGCUGCUGACAUUCCAAUCAUCUUUCUCAGGGAUUCGGACUUUGUAUGUUUGUCAUAGUAUCAGACAGUGCUUUGGGUUGAUGAGGAUACUAAAGAUGGCUCCUUCAACCUAACAGAGAUUGAGCCAAUUUCCAUCAUUUAUGUGCUGUUUAGUGUAAAGAAAAUCUACAGAUGCUUGGUUCAAUGAUAUGUCAUUUUGGCAGAUUUGUGCAGAUAAUCGGAGUACUGUGUGCCCAAAUGAGAAUUGAUCUUUUUUGAGACUCAAGGUUGUUCAUGAAAUCUUUUUUUCAUCUUAUUUAUGGUUUACAAUUCCUUUGCUGUGCUGAAUUGAUGCCAAGAAAGCAGAAGAGAGUUGUUCAGCACUGACUCAGACAAAAAAUCUCGCAGGGAAACUAGCGCCGAACCAUCAAUGUCAUCAACAGACGCUGCACAACCCAACAAGCAGAAAACUGACUGUAGCAGCUUCUCAUUGCAACUGUUGCACCACUUUUUGUAUAGAUAGAAAUGGAGCAACCAAUUUUUUCAUAGGCCAACACCUUUUGUGUAUAUACACCUAGACCAACUAUUUUUUGGAAAAUGUUCCAGCAGCAACUGCAACAAAGUGAACCUCAAACUUAGAUAGCCUAUUUGUUGAACAAUCCACUAUGAUAAUAUCAUCUUUUGUUUUAGAUGAUCUGCAGUAAUGAAAACAGUUCUAUCAUUUA